rnacentral:rRNA from 1 species
AGUGAACGCUGGCGGUAGGCCUAACACAUGCAAGUCGAACGGCAGCACAGUAAGAGCUUGCUCUUACGGGUGGCGAGUGGCGGACGGGUGAGGAAUACAUCGGAAUCUACUUUUUCGUGGGGGAUAACGUAGGGAAACUUACGCUAAUACCUCAUACGUCCUACGGGUGAAAGAAGGGGAUCUUCGGACCUUGCGCGUUUGAAUGAGCCGAUGUCGGAGUAGCUAGUUGGCGGGGUAAAGGCCCACCAAGGCGACGAUCCGUAGCUGGUCUGAGAGGAUGAUCAGCCACACUGGAACUAGGACACGGUCCAGACUCGGACGGGAGGCAGCAGUGGGAAAUAUUGGACAAGGGGCGGAAGCCUGAUCCAGCCAUACCGCGUGGGUGAAGAAGGCCUUCGGGUUGUAAAGGCCUUUUGUUGGGAAAGAAAAGCAGCAGGUUAAGACCCCGCUGUUCUGACGGUACCCAAAGAAUAAGCACCGGCUAACUUCGU